AGGGAAUUUUCGUCAAUGGGGGCAACCCUGAACGAGCAAUGCCGCGUGAGCGAAGAAGGUCUUCGGAUUGUAAAGCUCUGGUUGCCGGGAAAAGGAAGGAAAGAGGAAAUGCUUUUCUUUGGAUGGUACCCGGCCAGAAAGUCACGGCUAACUACGUGCC
rnacentral:rRNA from 1 species